AAUCAACGCUGGCGGCGUGCCUCAGACAUGCAAGUCGAACGCGAAAGGUUCCUUCGGGAACCGAGUAGAGUGGCGCACGGGUGAGUAACACGUAGGUAAUUUGCCUUUGGGUGGGGAAUAACAGCCGGAAACGGCUGCUAAUACCGCAUAAUGCAGCGGCUCGACAUCGAGACAGUUGUUAAAGCGGGGAGUCGCAAGACCUCGCGCCUAAAGAAGAAGCCUGCGGCAGAUUAGCUAGUUGGUAGGGUAAGUGGCCUACCAAGGCGACGAUCUGUAACCGGCCUGAGAGGGC
rnacentral:rRNA from 1 species